ACUCCCUCAGCGUCCUCUACUCCGACGUCUAUGGUUCAGUAGGCUGCCAUGGUUGCCUACAGCUUACCCGACAACUCACCAAGACUCAUCUCCCCCAUGAAGGUUUACAGAAAAUAUCAAAGAUUCAAAGAUACAAAGCGCCUAGUCCCCUUUGAACCUCUGCGGCUCUUCCUAGCGCAUAUCCCCUGCAUUGUUUCCCUAUUGUCUUGUGCCAUCCCCAGUUCUAGGCGUCCAUCAUCAAUGAUCUACCCUCACUGGAUAAGAAUUUCGAUUAGUAAUCAACAGUGAAGGGGCAGGGGUGGUGUCUCCUCAAUGGGCCAAAAAAUCGAAGGUAUGAUGGCAGCUCCCUGACGCACGGUGGCAGUGCAGUGACUCUCAGAUGCACAAG